rnacentral:rRNA from 1 species
UACGAAGGUGGCAAGCGUUGUUCGGAUUUACUGGGCGUACAGGGAGCGUAGGCGGUUGGAUAAGCCCUCCGUGAAAUCUCCAGGCUUAACCUGGAAAGUGCAGAGGGGACUGUUCAGCUAGAGGAUGGGAGAGGAGCGCGGAAUUCCAGGUGUAGCGGUGAAAAUGCGUAGAUAUCUGGAGGAAUACCGGUGGCGAAGGCGGCAUCCUGGACCAUAACUGACGCUGAGGCGCGAAAGCUAGGGGAGCAAACGG